CCUUAGAGUUUGAUCCUGGCUCAAGACGACCUCUGGCGGCGCGCCUAACACAUGCAAGUCGAACGGAGCUUAGAGAGCUUGCUUUUUAAGCUUAGUGGCGAACGGGUGAGUAACGCGUGAGUAACCUGCCCUAGAGUGGGGGACAACAGUUGGAAACGACUGCUAAUACCGCAUAAGCCCACGGUACCGCAUGGUACUGAGGGAAAAGGAUUUAUUCGCUUUAGGAUGGACUCGCGUCCAAUUAGCUAGUUGGUGAGGUAACGGCCCACCAAGGCGACGAUUGGUAGCCGGACUGAGAGGUUGAACGGCCACAUUGGGACUGAGACACGGCCCAGACUCCUACGGGAGGCAGCAGUGGGGGAUAUUGCACAAUGGGGGAAACCCUGAUGCAGCGACGCCGCGUGGAGGAAGAAGGUUUUCGGAUUGUAAACUCCUGUCGUUAGGGACGAUAAUGACGGUACCUAACAAGAAAGCACCGGCUAACUACGUGCCAGCAGCCGCGGUAAAACGUAGGGUGCAAGCGUUGUCCGGAAUUACUGGGUGUAAAGGGAGCGCAGGCGGGAAGACAAGUUGGAAGUGAAAACCAUGGGCUCAAC
rnacentral:rRNA from 1 species